rnacentral:rRNA from 1 species
CCCUACGGGGUGCCGGCGGGAUCAUCUGCAAAUGGCAACCGGAAAUUAUUUCCGCCGCUCCGGUUAAGAAGUGAGGGCAUAUAACAUGCUAGGUAGAAAAGACAAAAAUUUCUAUGAAAAGGUGCGCUUGUUCCUGGCCGGAAAUGUCGAUAUGUACGCCAACUCCAUCGUUCGCGACUGUGUUGCGCAGGGAGAGUACUUAGAAACGCUUGGCAUGGGUUCAGAGAAGUUGGUGAUACUCUACAAAGACAUGCUUCUUAACCAGCGCCGAGUGUUGAAUAUUAGGCUUCCUGAUGUGACGCAAGAGAUGGAAAAGCGGUUUAUUCGUUCUGCCAGAAUUAUGACUGCGAUAUCUGAUGGCGAACUUGUCAACGGUAGAAUUCCUCCUUUCCCAAUGGUAUAUGAGUCGCGGGGGAGC